GUAGAUAUUGCUCCUAACACAUCUGUCAUGUUCUUGCCAUUUCUCCCAAGGUGGAGGAGAAUUGCAUCAAGUUUCUCCCAGCAUGGGGAAAAGACACCAAGAUCAAAGCAUACUCACAUAAGAAGAGAAGCAGAAGGGACACUCCCUUCUUUGAUCACAUCCAUGACACACAUCAUUACAGUUUCAAUGGCUGUUGCAGUUAAAAAAAAAGAAGAAAGAAAGAAAGAAAGAAAGAAAGAAAGAAAGAAAGAAAGAAAGAAAGAAAGAAAGAAAGAAAGAAAGAAAGAAAGAAAGAAAGGAAGAAAGAAAGAAAGAAAGAAAGAAAGAAAGAAAGAAAGAAAGAAAGAAAGAAAGAAAGAAAGAAAGAAAGAAAGAAAGAAAGAAAGAAAGAAAGAAAGAAAGAAAGAAAGAAAGAAAGAAAGAAAGAAAGAAAGAAAGAAAGAAAGAAAGAAAGAAAGAAAGAAAGAAAGAUCCAACACUUGGUGGCCAGCCUUCUGGUAAUUUUUUUUUUUUUGCAAAGUUAUGCUGGUCCUCGAGGGGCUUAAAAAGGUUUCCAGAAGUUAGGAGUAAUAUCUGUAUCACGAUAUCAUGAUAAGGCAUCAGGAGAGGACUUUCCUAGAUGUGAAAUCCAGAGGGAAGGGAAAUGUUCUAAGUGGUCCCACAGCAAGGUCUGGCUACCAGAGUGGAGAGGGUGAGUGGGAGAGCUGCUACCUCUCUGGGACCUAAUGAGAAAGUCAGAAAACAUCAAUCAGGAGCAAAAUGCUUAUUAACCAAGCUGGUUAUUUUAGGAUGAGUUGGUCAUUAAAUCUGUAAGGAGUUGUUGGAGCACAACCCUUUUUGUGCUUCAGUCUGAGUAUCUUCCUGAAGUUAGAAAAGACAGCAGUUUGUGGAAUGGGCUAAGAAGCUAUAGAGGGAAUUCCUAUGGCAAGAAAACAAUCUCUUUGUACACAAUCAGAACAGCUGUCUCAUCUGAGCUGAUUCCUUGAUGGUUUAGCUAAUAUAAUGCUACAAAGGGAAAGAAAAAGAAAAAAAGAUAAAAAUCCCCUCAAUGAUACUUAAAAAAGAACAAACAUUUAUAUUUGCCAUUGCUUAAGUUCUCUGUAAUGCCUGUCUACUGCUUUAACAAUCCCAAUAAAAUGUCUUUGUUCCAUAUGCUUCCA
rnacentral:lncRNA from 1 species